AGAUUUCUUCUCUGUGGAGUGUUUCCUGUGAUCCUAGAUCUUUGGCUAUAGAAAAAUGUUUUGGAAAAAGAAAAAUGCUGAAUAACAUACUGUAGUGAUCCUUUUCUCUCCUAACAAAUUGAAUGGAGACAGCAGUAAAGGUCUUGUGUUGUAUACUGAAGCAGGCUUUCUCCAAUGGGGGUGAUCUCUCUCCAGUAGCCCUGAGACUAGCUGAAUUACAGAUGGGUUUAAUAAGAUGGGAAUAAUUACUGAAUUUGCUUACUGAAGUUGUCACUUCAAAGUCUUUCAUGGCA